GGGGGGCGCGCAGGAUCUUGGGCUGUGUCCCCUGGCACCCUGGGAUCCAGCGCCUGUGCUGCUGGAAUCGCGCUCCCGGGGCGCAGCCCCCU
rnacentral:pre_miRNA from 1 species